rnacentral:lncRNA from 1 species
UGUUCAAAGCUGGGAACAACUGACAAGUGGUGUUGCUUAUUCUACAUGUACUAGUCGCUACAUCAGCUGCUAUCAAUACAAAGCAUUGUACGAGCUACAAGGUAAUCUGGUAGUUAACAAAUGUGUAACAACUGUAUGCUAAAUCAGUACGCUGGUCCAGUCCACGUUGCUACUGGCUGAACCAGACAUAUGACUAAACAACGUGUUCCAGUCCAUGUUGCUACUGGCUGAACCAGACAUAUGACUAAACAACGUGUUCAAGUCCACGUGCUACUGGCUGAACCAGACAUAGACUAAACAACGUGUUCCAGUCCACGUUGCUACUGGCUGAACCAGACAUAUGAUAAACAACGUGUUCCAGUCCACGUUGCACUGGCUGAACCAAGACAUAUGACUAAACCACGUGUUCCAGUCCACGUUGCUACUGGCUGAACCAGACAUAUGACUAAACCACGUGUUCCAGCUGCACCAUUUCUCACAAUCAAACCAGAAAACAGUUGGAUCCAUCAGAGAGAAACAUACAAACAUGCACAGACACAUUAUCUCAACAGUAGAGAGAGCAACAGCCAUGUUUCUUCAAUAUACAGUUUGGAGAAUUUGUUUGUGUCAUGUGCUCCCAUCCUACUAUGUGUAAAAUCAUUUUUUGAGGAGUGCUGAUAUAAUUCUAUUAGCACCUUUGGACUAUUCCAUUGGUUCCAUUAUACCAGGCAAACUAAUCAAGCACAAGCUCAGGUAUAGUUUUCCUACCACCCAGAAUGUGGCUCUUUCCCAACAGCACGUGAGAAGAUCUGACCCAGCAGCCAGGACAGCAGGGUGAGAGUAGCUACCAAUUUGACACUAGACCUGUAUGAGAAAUUGUGUGUGUACCAGCUCAAGAUUCACCCUUCAACGACAGAUGGACAAGAUGGAUGCUGC